CUUGGUGGCAGUGAUGCCAUUGAUAAUCCCAGCUCUAUGAGAUCUUCAAUUUGAAGGUCCAAGAAUAGAUGCUAUCAGUUUCUGUCUGAGCCUCUAA